rnacentral:rRNA from 1 species
UGGGGGAUAUUGCACAAUGGGCGAAAGCCUGAUGCAGCGACGCCGCGUGGGGGAUGAAGGCUUUCGGGUUGUAAACCUCUUUCGCUAUCGAACAAGGCCCGCUUAGGGUGGGUUGAGGGUAGGUGGAGAAGAAGCGCCGGCUAACUACGUGCCAGCAGCCGCGGUAAUACGUAGGUCGCGAGCGUUGUCCGGCAUUAUUGGGCGUAAAGGGCUUGUAGGCGGCUUGUUGCGCCUGCUGUGAAAACGCGGGGCUUAACUUCGCGCGUGCAGUGGGUACGGGAAGGCUAGAGUGUGGUAGGGGUGACUGGAAUUCCAGGUGUAGCGGUGGAAUGCGCAGAUAUCUGGAGGAACACCGAUGGCGAAGGCAGGUCACUGGGCCAUUACUGACGCUGAGGAGCGAAAGCAUGGGUAGCGAACAGG